rnacentral:misc_RNA from 1 species
CGUAUGCCUAUCAUGUAUACAUCUGUCAUGUCAGGCACAAGGCCAGCGGGCAGACAUUUAAGCCAGAAAUCAAAUUAGGCACCAUGGCCAACGGGCAGACAAAAAGCCUGUAGAAUAAUAACAUCAGACAUAUUUUGUCUAUCAAUGAUUAUUCAUAUAGGCGGUACCAUUAUCUGUAGUCCCUAAUUGUUAUACUAAUCGAUCCAAGCUAAAUACAUAAGCCUAGGUUCACUUUGGGCAAUUAAGCAUUAUUACUUAAAUUUGGACUUAUUAUUUCAUGUCAUGUAUCAUUAUGGAGUGGGAAAGUAGGUCCUAUUU